rnacentral:rRNA from 1 species
CAGCCGCCGCGGUAAUACGAAGGGGGCUAGCGUUGCUCGGAAUGACUGGGCGUAAAGGGCGCGUAGGCGGAUUGUUUAGUUAGGCGUGAAAUUCCUGGGCUUAACCUGGGGACUGCGCUUAAUACAGGCAGUCUAGAGUGAGGAAGAGGGUUGUGGAAUUCCCAGUGUAGAGGUGAAAUUCGUAGAUAUUGGGAAGAACACCGGUGGCGAAGGCGGCAACCUGGUCCUUGACUGACGCUGAGGCACGAAAGCUAGGGGAGCAAACAGGAUUAGAGACCCGCGUAGUCCCUGUCUCUUAUAC